UACGUAGGGAGCGAGCGUUAUUCGGAAUUACUGGGCGUAAAGCGUGCGCAGGCGGCGUUUUAAGUCGAAUGUUAAAGCCUUCGGCUUAACCGUAGGGAUUCAUUCGAAACUGGCAAUCUUGAGUUCGGCAGAGGAUAGUGGAAGUCAUUGUGUAGCGGUGAAAUGCGUAGAUAUCUUGAGGAACACCAGUGGCGAAGGCGGCUAUCUGGACCGGAACUGACGCUAAGGCACGAAAGCGUGGGUAGCAAACAGG
rnacentral:rRNA from 1 species